rnacentral:rRNA from 1 species
AUUGAACGCUGGCGGCAUGCUUUACACAUGCAAGUCGAACGGUAACAGGCCGCAAGGUGCUGACGAGUGGCGAACGGGUGAGUAAUGCAUCGGAACGUGCCCAGUCGUGGGGGAUAACGCAGCGAAAGCUGCGCUAAUACCGCAUACGAUCUGUGGAUGAAAGCGGGGGACCGUAAGGCCUCGCGCGAUUGGAGGGGCCGAUGUCAGAUUAGGUAGUUGGUGGGGUAAAGGCUCACCAAGCCGACGAUCUGUAGCUGGUCUGAGAGGACGACCAGCCACACUGGGACUGAGACACGGCCCAGACUCCUACGGGAGGCAGCAGUGGGGAAUUUUGGACAAUGGGCGCAAGCCUGAUCCAGCAAUGCCGCGUGCAGGAAGAAGGCCUUCGGGUUGUAAACUGCUUUUGUACGGAACGAAACGGUCCUGGUUAAUACCCGGGGCUAAUGACGGUACCGUAAGAAUAAGCACCGGCUAACUACGUGCCAGCAGCCGCCGUAAUAC